AAAGAAAUUGACGGGGGCCUGCACAAGCGGUGGAGCAUGUGGCUUAAUUCGAUGCAACGCGAGGAACCUUACCUGGGCUUGACAUGUUCGUCAUAGUCCCGUGAAAGCGGGACGUCAGUUCGGCUGGACGAUCACAGGUGCUGCAUGGCUGUCGUCAGCUCGUGUCGUGAGAUGUUGGUUUAAGUACCGCAACGAGCGCAACCCCUAUGUCCUGUUGCCACGGAGAACACGUUUCUCCAGCACUCUGGACAGACUGCCUCAUUUGCAUGAGGAGGAAGGUGGGGAUGACGUCAAGUCAGUAUGGCCCUUACGCCCAGGGCUGCACACGUGCUACAAUGCCCGGCAUAAUGGGAAGCAAAAUCGCGAGAUGGAGCAAAUCCUCAAAACCGGGCCCAGUUCGGAUUGGAGUCUGCAACUCGACUCCAUGAAGUCGGAAUCGCUAGUAACGGCGCAUCAGCUACGGCGCCGUGAAUACGUUCCCAGGCCUUGUACACACCGCCCGUCACAUCAUGAAAGCCGGGAGCACCCGAAGCCUGCGAUUACGUGGUCGAAGGUGAGCUUGGUAAUUGGGAUG
rnacentral:rRNA from 1 species